AUUGAACGCUGGCGGCAUGCUUUACACAUGCAAGUCGAACGGUAACAGGCCUUCGGGUGCUGACGAGUGGCGAACGGGUGAGUAAUGCAUCGGAACGUGCCCAGCGGUGGGGGAUAACGCAGCGAAAGCUGUGCUAAUACCGCAUGUGAUCUGAGGAUGAAAGCGGGGGACCAGGCAGCAAUGUUUGGCCUCGCGCCUUUGGAGCGGCCGAUGUCAGAUUAGGUAGUUGGUGGGGUAAAGGCCUACCAAGCCGACGAUCUGUAGCUGGUCUGAGAGGACGACCAGCCACACUGGGACUGAGACACGGCCCAGACUCCUACGGGAGGCAGCAGUGGGGAAUUUUGGACAAUGGGCGCAAGCCUGAUCCAGCAAUGCCGCGUGCGGGAAGAAGGCCUUCGGGUUGUAAACCGCUUUUGUACGGAACGAAAAGGCUCUGGCUAAUACCUGGGGCUGAUGACGGUACCGGAAGAAUAAGCACCGGCUAACUACGUG
rnacentral:rRNA from 1 species